UGCUUUCCAGAGGAUUAAUUCAGCUUACUUUUCAUAGUGGUUUUGGUUAAGGGUUCCUCUACGUCGGGCUGGCGACUUUAAAACUAGCGCUUGGUGGGAGGCAACCCACCGUUGGUUUAGUUUUUGUUUUUGUUUUCUUGUUCUUUGUCUUUUCGUUUUUUUGUGUUUUUCUUUGUCUUUGGUUACUUGGGCGGAUGCUUUGAUUUUUGGGUGUUAAUGUCUUUGUUUUCAGCGCUGCAUUUUCUACUCUGACUUUGCCGCCAGC
rnacentral:lncRNA from 1 species